rnacentral:snRNA from 1 species
GUCAUGGUCACGUUAUUGUGAGUU